GUGUGUUUUCAGAGGAGUUGAGAUGACAAACUGUUGCAGAAGUACAUUGAAGCAAAUAAGUUCAAAGCGGCAUAACUCCUAGAAAAAAAAUUGAACCGUAAUUUCCUGUCGAUAUGCACAUCUACAUAGUAUGUCCUUAUUAUCUGAAAAAGUUUCGUGAAAUUCUGUUGUGUGGUUUGAGAGGAGUUGCGAUGACAAACUGUUGCAGUAGUACAUUAAAGUAAAUAAGUUCAAAGGGGCGUAACUCCUAGAAAAAAAAAUUGAAUCACAAUUUCCCGUCGAUAUGCACAACUACAUAGUAUGUCCUUAUUAUCUGAAAAGGUUUCGUGAAAUUCUGUUGUGUGGUUUUGAGAGGAGUUGCGAUGACAAACUGUUGCAGUAGUACAUUAAAGUAAAUAAGUUCAAAGGGGCGUAACUCUUAGAAAAAAAAUUGAAUCGCAAUUUCCCGUCGAUAUGCACAACUACAUAGUAUGUCCUUAUUAUCUGAAAAGGUUUCGUGAAAUUCUGUUGUGUGGUUUGAGAGGAGUUGCGAUGACAAACUGUUGCAGUAGUACAUUAAAGUAAAUAAGUUCAAAGGGGCGUAACUCCUAGAAAAAAAUUGAAUCGCAAUUUCCCGUCGAUAUGCACAACUACAUAGUAUGUCCUUAUUAUCUGAAAAGGUUUCGUGAAAUUCUGUUGUGUGGUUUGAGAGGAGUUGCGAUGACAAACUGUUGCAGUAGUACAUUAAAGUAAAUAAGUUCAAAGGGGCGUAACUCCUAGAAAAAAAAAUUGAAUCA
rnacentral:lncRNA from 1 species